rnacentral:rRNA from 1 species
UACGGAGGGUGCAAGCGUGUCCGGAUUUAUUGGGUUUAAAGGGUGCGUAGGCGGCUAAUUAAGUCAGCGGUGAAAUUCCACAGCUCAACUGUGGAACUGCCAUUGAUACUGGUUGGCUUGAGUACAGAUGAGGUAGGCGGAAUUGACAGUGUAGCGGUGAAAUGCUUAGAUAUUGUCAAGAACACCUAUUGCGAAGGCAGCUUACUAAGCUGUAACUGACGCUGAGGCACGAAAGCGUGGGGAUCAAACAGG